UACGAGGGGAGCAAGCGUUGUUCGGAUUUACUGGGCGUAAAGGGCGCGUAGGCGGUCGUGACAAGUCACUUGUGAAAUCUCCGGGCUUAACUCGGAACGGUCAAGUGAUACUGUCGGACUAGAGUACAGAAGGGGCAACUGGAAUUCUCGGUGUAGCGGUGAAAUGCGUAGAUAUCAGGAGGAACACCGAUGGCGAAGGCAGGUCUCUGGGCAUUAACUGACGUUGAGGAGCGAAAGCAUGGGGAGCGAACAGG
rnacentral:rRNA from 1 species